AAUUGUCCUGGAAACAAGCGUUGCUGUCAGUCGGGGCCGUACAUGACACCCUGUACUUGGGGAGUCUUGCAAGCUUUGGCCAAAAGCCUAGACUUGACAGGGAUGGGAAGGGGGAGGAGAGGAAGGCAAUACUGACUGUUUCUCUGUCUUUUCUUUGGCUACCCUUUCUUUCCUACUUGAGUGAAAGUAGCUACUGGAUUGAGAAGCAUUUGAGCAGGAUUUACUAACUGCUGUGCCACCUGCUUCUCCACAAACCUGGCAGAAUCCAAUUUUUCUUCUUCUUCACAAGCUUUUCGAAGAAAUAAACAGGUAAUCAGUUUUAACCAGAGAUUUAUUUCAUCUCGUUGCCUCACCAAUGUUUUGAACAUUCCAUAGCAGUUGUGCAUGAAAUGUGCUGUUUCAUUACAAUUAUUAUUGUGAAUUAUUCACAAGUAUGGGGAGAAUUCCCACUCACCACGGUCACCUUCCAGGGCAGUGGUUUCCAUGUGUGCUGAGCCAUGAUGUCUGUGCCCAGACAGAUGCUCCUCGUGGGCAGUGAGAAGGAGCACACUGAACAGGAGCUGAUUCCUAGGCUGUCUGCUGACAAGUGACCCUGGAGGCAAGGCCAGCACAGGGUGGAGGAGCAGGACUCAGCUCCCUCUCCACACCCCGUGUCUGGUAUUGCUCAGUGCAGGGGCUGCCUGAGCAUGGCAUGGGGCAGGCACAGUGUGCUCGCCCUCCUUCCCCUCCAGCAGCCUUUUGCACAGACCUGCUGAAUGGAUGGGAGGAGGGAAAAGAAACAGGAACUUCUCUUUGGAAUCACAUCAUCCCAAAACUGAGAGAAGAAGCGAAAGUUAAAUAAAAGGGACUGUUUUUAGCAAAGGCUGUUUAACUUCCUAACCUCACAAGCUGAAGACACGAGGAAACAAGAACAGAAGACUGCAGGACCUGAAUGUAAUCGCAGGCGUUCACUUGAGGCUUCUUUCAACACCCCGCUCUGCAGUACAGGUUUAAUAUUUGCACUGUUAUUCUGAUUGAUACUUCUUUCUCAUAUGAACUUACUGGGGAGAAAAGGUGCUUCCUGAGGGGACCUACAGCUGUGCAUCCAGAACAGACACAGUAAAGUAUCUGUAACCUCAACAUGACAGGAAAAAACUUUGCUCUGCCAACACCA